AAAAUUGAAUAAGUUGCUCGAGUGGAGCACAUAUCAUAACCCCAUGUCUUCACCUGCAUCCUUUAUAAGGACUAAGGAGAUUACAAAAACCCCGCCAAAAUAAACAUUUUCAAUCGACAAUGUCGGCGAAACGACAAUCGAAGCAGAUGAAUUCCGCGUUCAAUCUAUCUCUUCCACAUCAGUGAACAAUCUCUAAUCAAUAAGAAUUCCUCAAUUUUCAACUCAAAUCAGUCUGUAAGAAGCGUAUUUAUGAUGAUCGUUGUUUUGUAAUUCCGCUAGUUCGUAAUCCAGGAAUGUGUGAUUCAACUUCGAUAAUUCUUUUCACUGUAAUCGACCUUAGGGAUUUCACAUUGUUCGUCGAUUUCAGGGAUGUUUUAGACUGGGGAUAGUUUCAAGGUUUUGGAGUUGACUGUGAAGGUUUCCUGUUAAUGUAUGAGAAUAUUCAAUAACAAGGAAAUUUCCCAAGGCCUUGUGGAGGCUAUAGAUACGUUAAUUAAUGGUAUUCUAAGUGCUUUCUUUUCUAAACCAAAAUGUUCUAAUGGGAAUCAAUUUUAAAAGCCUUAAAAAAGAAACACAUAGGUUAAUAUAAAGUUUUACUACAUAGAGUUAUAAUACAUGUAUCCGAAUUACCAAAAUAUGUUCCAUAUAUAGGGUAUCAAUUUGGGGAUGCGUAAAGAGGUCCGGAUAUUUCAAAGGGAGUAUCUAAGAAUUUAGAUCUGAUCUUGAGAUGUGAUUCUUGAGGAUUUGGUGGAGAUAGGAUUAUUCCAUGGCCACUCUAUUUGGAAAUGCUAAGAAGGUCAGAAAAGAUGUUUAUUUUUGCUACGGCCAAUCAAAUUGAGAUGCUUUGCCAAGUAAAUCAGAUUUCACUUAUCUCAUUGAGGGAUCAGAUUUAUAGAGAUUUCUCCAUUAUUUCUGUUUCAUGUUGACUUCUUGGCUGAGUUUGGGAUCUCUAAAGGCUUAACUCUCAUUUGUUUAGUCGUCACUUGGACCAUUGGUUUGAUGCUGAAUGCAAAAAUGAAGAAAUGAUUGGCUAAUUCUUAUUCCUAGCCAUAUUUAUUUUCUCUUAAAACUGUGGUUUAUGGAGGUUGGGAUUAAGCCUCCAGUCAAAUUCCUUUUAGCUGCAAUGAUUUUAUUCCAAAAUCAUUUCCUACAUCAUUGAUGGGUGACUACUUUCUACUUGUACAAUUUCUCCAUUAGGUGUGUCGUAAAAAUUGCUAUUUUGUGGCGAAGUGUAGUCUGUGUAACGUUGUCCACUCUUAUGUAGGUAAUUUUUUUAAACCAAUGAGGUUUAGUCUAAAGGUUAUAAGUAAGAGAGUGGAUACAUGUGAUCCCACAUUUAAUCUAUCCAUUCUUCGUUAUAUGUGUUGUAUGAGCCUUUGCGCCUUCUAUAAUCUAUACCCACCAAAAAAGUGUUCCAUUUCUUGCUGUCAGGACUAAGAGGCUGAUUUAUGUAACUUGUUUUAUUUGUGGUGUAUGAUUAGAAUCCUCUUCACUCUUUUGAUUUUGGAAUCACGAGAUAAAUAAUCCUUGUUUCUUAUAUAUUAUCUUUAUCUGUCCCUCUUGCACUUGAAACUUGAAAGUCACAUCUUUACUAUAAUUUUGUAUUUUUAGUUUGAUACGUGAGACAAAAUAAUUUCUAAAUCUAUAAAACAAGGCAAAUGGAGUAUUAAUUAAUAUCCCUUUCCAUUUUGCUGAUUAUCAUCCUGAAUUGAAAUUUUGAAUUCUUAUUACUCUAUGGUGCAUCGUAAAUAUAAAUGCAGUAGUGUUUACACUGUACAUAGGCCUCACCCUGUUGAUGGAAACUAUGGAAAUUUCGGGGAUGGAUGUGGGAUUUCAUGUGUAAGAGUGAAUAAGAGCUCUUCGGGGUUCAUGUUUGAGGCUUAAAGGGCCCUUUCUUUACUGUAGCAGCC